AUCUUAGCUGGAUGACUCUUACGAAACAGAAGGAUUUCGUACAUGUCCCAUGGUAUGUUAAGCAUUUACAUGGAUUAUGGUGCUUAAUUCUCAUGACGUCUAAGAGGUAGCUCUCUUGUUAGAGUCACUGAGGCUGAGGAACAGAGACACCAAUGACUUGUCCAAGACCGUCUGGCGCUGGUCAGAAGGAAUCAAAUCUUGUCCCAGGCAGCCGGAUGCUAGAGCCUGCGCUGAGGUACAAGUUGGUCCCACAUGCUGCUUUUUGCAAGGCUGUGUCCCACUGAGAGCUAAUUAGGAGGCCAAGGGAAUUACUUGACAUGUUUAUGGAAGGGACACAGAGGACAAGAAACAAGGGAACACAUUCCCUCUUUGUCUUUACAGUGAUGUGGUGAAGAAGAGCAGACAGUAUUCUUGCGCUGCAAUGGCAACAGGCAGUGGGAAUGAGGAGCAGAUGUGGGCAGCAAAAGUCCUCAUGCAGGGAGGGCUCCGUGAACUGGAAGCUGUGGGUGGCGUCUGCCCAUGGAGAGGGAGAGCCUGGGAGAAAAAACAACUAAGGUCCAGCAAGGAGCUACAAGCAACUGGGAAACAGAUUAAUGAGCUGGUUGAGUAAACUCAGGUGGAGAUGACUGUGUGCAUCUGUACAUGGGCAGGCAGCUGGAGGGGAGAGAGAGACAGAGAUUCCACAAGAAACAUCCAGGACCGGGCAGACACCUUCUCAGGCUCAUCCACCCAUCCACCGGGCACAUAGCCCACCUUGAGACACCCACGAAAGAGAGGUGUUUCCAGGUGGUAGCAUCUCUGUACCUGAAAGCUCAUGCUUCAUUAUGAGGCUCCAAAUGACUUCCUGGAGUGCUGACAGCUCACUAGUUUUUUCAAAGCUCUUUUUCUACUGAUGGCGUCACACCUGGACCUAGAAGUUUCUUCUCUCCCUGUCUUUACAAAGACCCCCACUGCUAAACCCUGCUCAUUCACGGCUGCUGCGCCAAGGUUUCCUCUGUCACUGGAGCCACUUUGAUGCCUCUCUGCAUCCUGGAGUGGAAGGUAGCCCUGAC
rnacentral:lncRNA from 1 species